UACGUAGGGGGCAAGCGUUGUCCGGAAUUAUUGGGCGUAAAGAGCGCGUAGGCGGUCCGGUAAGUCGGCUGUGAAAGUCAAGGGCUCAACCCUUGAAAGCCGGCCGAUACUGUCGGACUAGAGUCCGGAAGAGGCGAGUGGAAUUCCCGGUGUAGCGGUGAAAUGCGUAGAUAUCUGGAGGAACACCGGUGGCGAAGGCGGCAUCCUGGACCAAUUCUGACACUGAGGAGCGAAAGCCAGGGGAGCAAACGGG
rnacentral:rRNA from 1 species